CGGGAGGAUGGUGAUUGUUGGUGAAGUAGAAUGGCUCUUGGAAUCUGGGGUGGAGGAAUGAGGGUAGCACAGAGGAUCCGGGAGUGGGAGUCACAGCUUCAAUCUCCUUUUAUUUUCCCUCUUUGCUGUAAGCCUCCCCUGAACUGCUAGUUGCCUUCGUGAUUAUAACCAGGGGUCCCUAGAGGGCUGUGUUUGUUGCUGGAAGAUUCCGCGGUUGGAUGGCAUCCUGAUGAACGUGGAGCUCAUCUGUCCUUCAGAUGGGGGGCAGCAGCUGCCGUGAGUGCUGUCCUGGACAUGGUCUCAGCUCUGUGUGUCAUUUCCCUUCUCUGGACCUCAUCGUCCCCAGCUGGAGGCUGAGUGGUGGAGGAGAACUGGCUCGUCACCAGCCCCCGUUUAACCACAAGACUUCUUUCUGGGGACCCCUGGACAGCAUGGGUAUUUAGUAUUCUUACCAUCAUCUUUCCCUGCUGUGCUCCCGGCAGACAAUUCUAAUCUGUCAUGACACUCUGAUGAUCCCAGACCCAGCUGCAUUAUCAUUCUCAGUCCAACACUCCAGGAACCAAGGGAUCACAAUCCACUUCUAAGAGGAAUCCAGCAUGUGCCUGGUCUUGGGCAUUCCCUGGUAG
rnacentral:lncRNA from 10 species